AAAAAGUGAACAAGGAACAGCAGGUGAGGCACUGGCUCUGGGCAACUUUCAGACGGGGCUUCAAGAUGAUCUGGAGGUUUCAGAGGAUUGUCACUUUACAGAAAAAAGUAGCAGACUUGGUCUCCAAAGACUGGUGACUCCAAGGUGUGGCUCAACACCCAGCUGAAGAGGCGGUCAAUGCGAACAGCAUCAGCUCAUGAACCGAGUGUGUCCUGCGUGCUGGCGCUGCGCUCUCCCACCAGCUGCUCCAGGCAGGCACUCCCAUCCAUUUUCCAACGAGGAGGUGGACGUUUGGAGGCAGAGAGUCCGUGCUGAGAGCCUGCUGCAGACACGGUUGAAAGGUGGACCCCAGCCCUUGUCCCAGAAUGUCUCUUCCAUGGCUGGGUCUGCCCCAGAGGAACAGAAGCAAUGGCCUGGCGUCUGUUUCCAGCUCUGCUCCUUCCUUGAGGCUUCUGGCGGCUGUGAUCAAAAGGCAGCCCUCGCUGGGGGGAGUACGCAACAUCUUCAAUGACCUAAGAGCUCCUAGUAAAUGGGAACCAGUCACUUGACUCAAAGACUGAGGACCACAAAGAAGGCAGCAUGCUUCACUGGGACUUGCAGGCUGCCGCUCCAGUCCCUCUGCAGCUGCACAAGCAGGAACCAGUCUUUUGGGUAAGAAACUCUCCUUUCCCUAAGAACUGGUGUUAACUGUUGUUAAAGGUCAGAGAGAGCACUGUGGCCUCCACCCUCCCUGGGCACUUGGUAGGUACACAAGUAAGCUCCGCUCACCACAGUGCCCAAACCACAUCUUGCUCAGGGUAUACAAAAGCCAGGAACACUGACAUUAGGUAAUAUCACCCAAGGGAUAAAGGAAGAGGCAUGUGAACCAGUAGCCGCCUGAAGUGCUGAAGUGUGUACUAUACUCACUGUAAGGUUUUCCAAUUCUAGCUGUCGCACUGUAUAAUAUGACUUGAUAUCUUCAGAGAUCAAUGUUAAUUUCAGAUUUGUGUCUUCAAAGAUCAUCUCUUUUUCUUCUUUUUGUGGCCAGUAUUGUGCGCAUUUUAACUGGGGGAACAAAUAACAGUGAAUUAUUGUGAGCAAUAUGGCAGUUUUUCUAUGGCAGGAGGCUUGGAGCACAUCCCACAAGCUUCAUGAUAACUCAAAGGCCUGGGGGUUUCUGAACAUGGAAGCCAUGGUCAGCACAGAUGCCUGCCUCAUGGGGAGAUGGGGGUGGGGGCACGAAGCUGCUGACUGGGGCAGGUUGUGCAGACAGGGCUCAGACUUCCAAACCCAUCAGCUCCCCAGCCAAACAUGGCAACGGGAUCCUGCAGGGCUCUGACGCUUUCUCACCGUCUACGAGGUGAAGCCAGAUUGAACAAAAGGCUUCGAAACUCCUCUGUGUAGCCAUUUCAAACAUUACCCAGGACCUGAUCAGGCUGCUGGCAUAGAAUGUAGGUGCCUUACCCUGCACAGAAAACUCACAGGCAAUUAAAAAUAAAACUGGGAGAGACAGCAGGUGAGGCCCUUUGGAGAGGCUGAGCAGUUGUCACCAAAUACAGACUCCCUUUCAGAGAAGGCUUGGAGACGGGCUCCCCAGGGCUUGCCCUUUCAUUCUGGUUUGGUUCAGUUCAUUCAGAAAAAUACUUUUGAUGUUCUAUUUUGAUAAUCUCAGACACUAUCUGAUGUUCUCAGUUUAAAUGUAGCUCAUUAAAUUUUUCUUUAAAACAAGCAAAUUUAUGAAAAUUUGGUUUCAUUUAGGGUCUAAGACAAAAACUGACUCGAAUUUAGUGACAUUUUACUUGAACUAAGUUUUCUGCCUCAGUUACACAAAUGUUUCUGCUCAUGGAUAACUGUUGUGGAUAAAAAUGGCAGGUCAGCAGGGGCAGAGCUACCAGGUCGGUCAGCCUGACCAUGUGCCUGGACAGAGGGAAGCUCAAAGCCCUUAUGAUUUGCAGCAAAAGAAAUGUCAGCGUGUGUCAACAGCUCUUUGGCAAAUGACACUGGCAGUUCACGUGCACUGACCCACUCAAUACCUCCUCUGGGGCAAAGGAUGGUGUGGGUGAAGGGAACCACUUCAGGGCCAGCUGUCUGUCAGAAGACACUGCUGUGCCCAGCAGUGACAAGGUGGACUAUGGGGGAGGGCUGCUGUCCUACGGACAUGCAGCAGGAAUUCAGAAGAGGGAAAUGUUUCAGGUCAGCCAAGGUUACAGAAAAGAGAGAUCAGAGAAAGCUCUGUGCAAGAGGCAGGUUUUGAAGGAUGACUAGGAUUUCCCAGGCAGUGACUGCAAAUAAGAGGCUGAAAAGAGCAGCUGGAGAAGGGGCCAGCAGAGGCCCAGAUCACAGACGACUGGCAGCAGGCCCAGGGACCUGUGGCAUCAUCUGGGGGCAAUGAGGAGCCAGGAAGCACGUGAGGAGGGUGAAUAUAGAACCACAAAUGCCUAUUGGUCCUGCUCUACUGGAGCUGGAAGCUGCCCAAAAGACAAAACCAAAGCAAAAUGUGGGAGAAACAAAUUAGGAAACACCAGGUUGUGGUGCCAGCAUCACAGCAAACUUCACAGUGCCAGACCAGAAGCCAACGGAGCUUUCUCAAGAGUCUGGACACAAGCCUGUCUGAAGUCUUAGCCAGUUUCAUCCAUGUCACCUUCCUGGAUCAAUGAUGAGUUGCCAAAAGUGAACUCUUGAAUGGGGACAAUCUGUCACCAUUGAAGCAAUUCUGCCACUUGGCAUGGAGGCGCUAAUUACAUGGCAAGACCCCCACUUAGCCAAAGUGGGUGUGGCAGCUAAAAGCAGGAACUUAGAAGAAUGUGAAAAGAUGAAUUAAUCCCACACUUCUAACAACUAGAUCUUAUAAUGCCUCAAGACCCCAGAAACAAGAGACUGAUCUGACAGGUUCCACCCCACCCGUGCUGGGGUGGGCAUUCCACAGAGUGAGCAGACAGAGAAGGAAGCGAAGAACAGAAAUGCAGGAGGAAGAGGCCACCGUUCCUCAUCUCAUAAGCAGGGCAGACGAGUCUUAAAGCUCACCUCCAGACAGCAAGCACUCACUUUCAAAACCAAACCUAAUGCUUAAUAACCCUCUGUAAUCUGGGUAAAGACUAAGACUUUGGAACUGUACAAGUGAGGAAUUCUGUCAUACAACUAAGUGUCAAUCACCCAAUAUUUAUUUUUAAGGACUCUCGGGUGUCUACAGCAACAAGCUAUGCUCUGUCAUUUCCAAUAGAAAUUUUUGUUUUAAACACACAAAAUUUUUAAAAGGCACAAGAUCACAUUUCCAGUUACCCUAUUACAUUGAUAUAUACGGCCAUGAAAAGUAGAUGGAUUUUUAUUAGAACAUAGUACUUCACCAGGCCUCAAAUUGAGUCCUAUCUUGGGCUGGCACCAGAGGAACAUGGCGGUGCCAACAUGCUAGCAUCUCUCGUAGUUGCUGUUUCCACCAUGAAGGCAGAUGUUAAAAAGUCCUUGGGGCCUUCCCAAACAAGUGGGCAAGUGGUGUUUAGAAAACCUAUGAAAGACAUCUACAGUAACCCUGUGACGGGUAAUUUGGUUUCGCCAAAAAUUAUUAACACAGAGAACUAAGUAAGUAAUUCUUAACACAGAGAACUAAGUACGAGAGAAAAAUGAAUUAUACGGACCCUGUGAUACAAAAUGCAGUGUCUUGUGCAUGAAAGCACCUGAAAGCAAACGGCAGCUUUAGUGAGGAUUUCAGGAGGGAGAUAUGGGUGAGAUUCUGCAAUGGCCAAUUAAACUCACCUUGCUUACUUCCCCCUUCUAAACAACAAUCCCAACCCUUACACCAUGGUGCAGCCUACACUGAGGUGUCUAAAGUCAAUCCUUAAACAGAACCAGUGAGAACUCUAGCCAUCUGGAUGACCCCAGUCUAACACACACAAUCAUCUUCUGCAUAACUGGUUUCCAGGAAGCCCAGGGUCCCAAAAGAUACCAGGCAUGUUUGCCAAAAGUAAGAGGGAGCAUCCUACACUAUUUGGUGAAGGAAGGAAAUCAGAAGACAAGUAUGCAUUAAAUGAAAACUCCCCAAAAGCUGGUUUUACCACAAGCUGUGUGGAUCAUUUAUAAUUAGAUGAGCUGAGCAAAUAAGAUACUGUAACUUCUCAUGAUUUCUCCCAGCCAGCCCUCUGGGAGGGAUAAUGCUGAUACAGAAUUGAAAAUGUUGAUCCCAAAGAAACUUUAACAAUCUCAAACCAUACAUUGCUUUUCAUGCCAAUCUGCAUGCCCAAGUAAUCCUCCAGUGGAAUGGGAUACUUAACAAAGGAAAACAGGGACUGCUGGCACAGUUAUCACAGUAAACUACAGCAAAGCCAACCAGCCAUGUUCUCGAUGCCACCACAGUAACCCAAAGGGAAAGGUUGUCACAGUGGAUCUGUGGGCCAUUUGUGGUCAGUCUUGAGUGGGAGACAAUGAAGCACAGGGCCUGGUGAGGCUGGAACACAUAACUACAGCACUGGACACUGCUCAAACACAUAACUACAGCGCUGGACACCACUCCUUGCUGUAAUGUGACAACAAUUGCUAAAGCAAACCUUGUGCUCACAGCAAAGAGGUUUUACCAAACACUUAGCAACAAAGAAAUAAAUAAGAAGCAAAUGCU
rnacentral:antisense_RNA from 1 species